CAAAGUCCAGAGUCCCGAGUCCAGUGUCCAGAGUCCAGAUGACAGUAGUACAAAGAGUCUACACCAAGUCCCGAGUCCAGAGGCGUGAGUCCAGUGUCGAGUGUCUAGAGGCGAGAGUCCAGAGUCCGAUAUCCAGAGAUGAGAUUUGUAUCCAUCCUCAAUUAAACCAAGAGAUAGUGCAGUAAAAAUUGAAACCAUUGAAAUACAUAUUUAAUAUUGUCUUUCAUGCUUGCAAUUUGCUGUCUUAUAUUCUCUUUAAAUAGGCUGUAAAUCGCCUUAAAUAGAUUUUACAUGGAG